GACGAACGCUGGCGGCGUGCCUAAUACAUGCAAGUCGAACGAAGCCUUUUUAACUGGUGCUUGCACCGACUUAAACAACUGAGUGGCGAACGGGUGAGUAACACGUGGGUAACCUGCCCCAAAGCGGGGGAUAACAUUUGGAAACAGAUGCUAAUACCGCAUAACCACAGAAACCACAUGGUUUCUGUGUCAAAGAUGGUUUCGGCUAUCACUUUGGGAUGGACCCGCGGCGUAUUAGCUAGUUGGUAAGGUAAUGGCUUACCAAGGCAAUGAUACGUAGCCGAACUGAGAGGUUGAUCGGCCACAUUGGGACUGAGACACGGCCCAAACUCCUACGGGAGGCAGCAGUAGGGAAUCUUCCACAAUGGACGAAAGUCUGAUGGAGCAACGCCGCGUGAGUGAAGAAGGUUUUCGGAUCGUAAAACUCUGUUGUCAGAGAAGAACGUGUGCGAGAGUAACUGUUCGUGCAGUGACGGUAUCUGGCCGGAAAGCCACGGCUAACUACGUGCCAGCCGCCGCCGUAA
rnacentral:rRNA from 1 species